rnacentral:rRNA from 1 species
UAUCCCUUUUAGUGAACUGCGGAAGGAUCAUUACCGAGUGCGGGUCCUUUGGGCCCAACUCCCAUCCGUGUCUAUUGUACCCUGUUGCUUCGGCGGGCCCGCCGCUUGUCGCCGCCGGGGGGGCGCCUCUGCCCCCCGGGCCCGUGCCCGCCGGAGACCCCAACACGAACCCCUGUCUGAAAGCGUGCAGUCUGAGUCGAUUGUUUGCAAUCAGUUAAAACUUUCAACAAUGGAUCUCUUGGUUCCGGCAUCGAUGAAGAACGCAGCGAAAUGCGAUAACUAAUGUGAAUUGCAGAAUUCAGUGAAUCAUCGAGUCUUUGAACGCACAUUGCGCCCCCUGGUAUUCCGGGGGGCAUGCCUGUCCGAGCGUCAUUGCUGCCCUCAAGCCCGGCUUGUGUGUUGGGUCGCCGUCCCCUCUCUCCGGGGGGACGGGCCCGAAAGGCAGCGGCGGCACCGCGUCCGAUCCUCGAGCGUAUGGGGCUUUGUCACAUGCUCUGUAGGAUUGGCCGGCGCCUGCCGACGUUUUCCAACCAUUCUUUCCAGUGACCUCGAGUCAGUAGGAUACCCCGACUA